rnacentral:rRNA from 1 species
UGAGGAAUCUUGCGCAAUGGGGGAAACCCUGACGCAGCAACGCCGCGUGAGUGAGGAAGGUCUUCGGAUCGUAAAGCUCUGUCAGUUGGGAAGAAAUGCCUGUUGGUUAAUACCCUUCAGGCUUGACGGUACCAACAGAGGAAGCACCGGCUAACUCCGUGCCAGCAGCCGCGGUAAUACGGGGGGUGCAAGCGUUGUUCGGAAUUAUUGGGCGUAAAGAGCGUGUAGGCGGCCUGAUGUGUCAGAUGUGAAAGCCCUGGGCUUAACCCAGGAAGUGCAUUUGAAACUGUCAGGCUCGAGUAGGGGAGAGGGAAGUGGAAUUCCUGGUGUAGAGGGGAAAUUCGUAGAUAUCAGGAGGAACACCGGUGGCGAAGGCGACUUCCUGGCCCUAUACUGACGCUGAGACGCGAGAGCGUGGGUAGCAAACA